AGAGAGAGACAUGCGCGCAUAUCAAUAAGCGGAGGAAAAGAAACUAACAAGGAUUCCCUUAGUAACGGCGAGUGAAGCGGGAAGAGCUCAAAUUUGAAAUCUUCAAGGUUUUACCUUGACGAAUUGUAGUUUAAAGAAGUGUUUUCUGUUGAAGUUUUGGUAAAAGUUCUUUGGAAUAGGACAUCAUAGAGGGUGAGAAUCCCGUAUUUGACCAUUAUUUUCAGCUGUGUGAUACACUUUCAAAGAGUCGGAUUGUUUGGGAAUGCAGUCCAAAAUGGGUGGUAAAUUUCAUCUAAAGCUAAAUAUUGGCGAGAGACCGAUAGCGAACAAGUACCGUGAGGGAAAGAUGAAAAGAACUUUGAAAAGAGAGUUAAACAGUACGUGAAAUUGUCAAAAGGGAAGCGUUUGACACCAGUGUUGUUUUCUCGAAAAUCAAUUAAAAAAGGCCGGAUUUUGUGUUGUAUUGACCUUAAAAGCUUUCUUCACUCUUUUCUUGUCUUUUUUAAUGCACUUUUCGUUUAACAAGUCAACGUCAGUUUCUUUUGUUGUAAAAGGGUCAUUGGAAGGUGGCUUUCUUUUCGGAGAAAGUGUUUAUAGCCUUUGAUCUCUGCAACCGGAGAGACUGAGGUCUGCAGCGUAGACUCUUCGGGGUUAGAUACAUUUGUGCUAAGCUAUAGCUUUUUAUAGACAACUUGUUGACUAUAUUUAGUCUUGUGGCUUACUCGCUUAUGCUAUUUUACCUACGCUUAGGAUGUUGACAGCAGUAUAGACUGU
rnacentral:rRNA from 1 species